rnacentral:rRNA from 1 species
CCCUUAGAUGUUCGGGGCCGCACGCGCGCUACACUGAAGGUAGCAGAGGGUGUGAUCGCUCCCGCCCCGAAGCGGGGCGGGUAAACCGUUGAACUACCUUCGUGGCUUGGGACCGGGGCUUGGAACUGUUGCCCGCGAACGAGGAAUUCCCAGUAAGCGCGAGUCAUAAGCUGGCGUUGAUUACGUCCCUGCCCUUUGUACACACCGCCCGUCGCACCUACCGAUUGAAUGGUCCGGUGAAAUCUCGGGACGGCGGCUUGGUCGCUUGCGUCCGACUGCUGAAACUUGAUUAAACCAUAUCAUUUAGAGGAAGGUGAAGUCGUAACA